CCCCCUUCCUGGUUGUGGGCACUCAGGGCAAGGCGCCGAACGGGGCACCCUCCAAAGGGAAGGGCCGCCUCGGCAGCGCCCGGCCCGCCACUGCUUGCCGGCCGAGGGCGGGGCGCGGGGGCGGCAGCUCGCAGCUCCUCCCGGUUUUCUACUUCUUUCAUAGACUCGCCCUCGGUCUCUUUCCGCGCCCAUCUCCGGGGUCCCCUUUCCACGCCUCGCUUUGUUAGUCUCUCUCCCUUCCGGAGGUAAAAGGCCUCCGACCCGAAGGGCGGGCGUCGCACUUGCAGGACCGCGGAGUGGCCCACGGGGAGGAUCUGCAAGAGAUGCACAGAGACCCCUCGAGGCCAUCGAGCAGUUCCAGGUUGUUCAUUGACGGCGGUUUUGACGCUGAAGUAGACGUCAAAGUGGAGGGUUUUUUACACCGAGCUCGAUGAUUUUUAGACGUCUUCUCAGAACGCUUCGAAAGAGAUUUUUGCUGUGGUUGCAGGGAAGCACACAUUGGUUCAAUUCCUUCCCCUGAGAGUCUAUAGUAGAUGUCUUUGCCUUCCAGUACUGCUACAGCAUGGUAAAGGAAAGCCUGGCUCUAGUUAUCCUCCAGAGGAGCAGCAGCAGGUGCAGAGAGCUGCCUUUGGCCCUAUCCUCAGCAAUGGAAGAUUCGCCUGCUCUGGCCCCAAGAACUGGCCUGAAGACAAAAUCAACUUGCUUGUAACUGUGGGUACUUUCUUUUCAUUCUUGUGUUCUCACAGUUUACUAUAAACUAUUUUAAAGAUCAUGUAAUCCAAAAUCAGAAUUACACACCUUCAAAAUUAAUAAACAUUAGCCCAAAUCCUAUGCAGCCCAUGUCACUGUUAGAAGCAAAUUGUCAUAAAUUAAGAAAUCUCCAUGGACAUUAUCUGAGGUGCAGAACAAAUAAAGUCUACAGACAUUUCUUAACUUACAGAAUUUUGUUUCUGAAAGGAAAAAGCCAUUUGUGUUAACUGCACAACAGGAUGACAGCCACUAUCAAGUAGAAAGCCAUGUGUACAUUCUGUCCCAUCUUCUUCAUCUUCAGAUCUUUUCCAUAACAGAAAAUAUUGGUCUACUUUAUGUCACAGAGUUGUUGUAAGGAUAUGGGGAGAUAGUAUUCAUUGAGUACUUUUAAGUAUUGAGAAAACAUGCUAGGACUUCUAAUGCUCAAAAUAUCCUGGGAUACAUCUGAGACCCCAUAUCAAAAGUUUUACAGAUGUGCUGUAGUCUGCAUAUCUUACCUGGAAGCUGUCAGGAAAAACUUAAGUCUAUCAAAUGUGCUUUAGGCCAGGGUUGGGAACAUGUCGCCCCCUAUAUGUUGGAAAGCCCUCCCAUAUGCCUCAGCAUUUGAUUAGAUAGAUAGACAGACAGACAGACAGACAGACAGACAGAGUGGUGCCCCACUUGACAAUU